rnacentral:rRNA from 1 species
UGUGCGACUUUGGUUGCGUGGUAUCUCAA